CCCUGAUCCUGCCUAGUCUCCCAGUCCCUGAAAAAGAUCCCCACAGCAUGAUGCUGCUACCUUCAUACUUCACCAUAAGGAUUGUGCCAGGUUUCCUCCAGAAGUGACGCUUGGCAUUCAGGCCAAAGGGUUCAGUCUUGGUUUCAUACAUUUUUUGUUCCCUUUUCCCAGAUCUGUGCGUCAACACAAUCCUGUCUCGGAGCUUUACGGACAAUUCCUUCGACCUCAUGGCUUGGUGUUUGCUCUGACAUGCACUGUCAACUGUGGGACCUUACAUAGACAGGACAAUGACCCAACACACCUCCAGGCUGUGUAAGGGCUAUUUCACCAAUAAGGAGAGUGAUGGAGUGCUGCAUCAGAUGACCUAGCCUCCACAAUCCCCCGACCUCAACCAAAUUGAAAAUGUUUGGGAUGAGUCGGACCGCAGAGUGAAGGAAAAGGAGCUAACAAGUGCUCAGCAUAUGUGGGAACUCCUUCAAGACUGUUGGAAAAGCAUUCCAGGUGAAGCUGGUUGAGAGAAUGCCAAGCGUGUGCAAAGCUGUCAUCAAGGCAAAGUUUGGCUACUUUGAAGAAUCUCAUAUAUAAAAUAUAUUUUGAUUUGUUUAACACUUUUUUGGUUACUCCAUGAUUCCAUAUGUGUUAUUUCAUAGUUUUGAUGUCUUCGCUAUUAUUCUACAAUGUAGUAAAUAGUAAAAAUAAAGAAAACCCUUGACUGAGUAGGUGUCCAAACUUUUGACUGGUACUGUAUAUCUCAGCACUGCAGAUUUUGCUGCCAAGAGACAGAAUCAUUAGAUAAUUCAUUCUGGUAUUACCCCCAUGUACAGUAGCUUGUUUAUGGUCACAGGUUCAGGAAUGGCUGAAAAAUCACAACAUUAACCCUACAAAUAGCAGUGUUGGGUACUUUCAGAAGACAUAGUCAAUCAAUCAAUAAUAUAGCAAUACUCUUAGGAAAAAUAUGUAUCUUUAUCUUACAAUCUGUGGAUACUAUGUGAUUAGAAAGGUUAACAAUGUAUGUAUGUAAGACAUCCCAGCACAGUUGAAAAAUCUUUGGCACAUGAAAAUCAAGAGAGGGUGGUCUACGGAGAUAGCUGGGAUGGGCUGAGAGUAGCUGAGGGCUGGGAUUAAAAAGCUCAUAAUCAGUAAUAGUUAUUACUGAAAACAUUAUAUAUAAUGUGAACCGGAGAUGUCUGAGUACUAUCUUUUACAAAUGUAAUGUGUAUAUAAAAUAACUAUCUUUGUCAUGUGAAUGAUAUGUAUAAAAGUACCAUGUAGGUAUACUAAAAUAAAGCUGUAGAGCUGAAAUAAAAGAUCCCAGAAAUUUACCAUACUCACAAAAAGCUUAUUUAUAUCAAAUUUUGUGCGCAAAAUUGUUUACAUCUCUGUAAGUGAACAUUUCUACUUUACUAAGAUAAUCCAUCCACCUGAUAGCUGUGGCAUUUCAAGAAGCUGAUUGAACAGCAUUUUAGAGAAUUUGGCAGUACCUCCAACCGGCCUCGCAACCGCAGACCAUGUGCAACCACGCCAGCCCAGGACCUCCACAUCCGGCUUCCUCACCUGUGGGAUCGUCUGAGACCAGCCACCCGGACAGUUGAUGAAAUUGUGGGUUUGCACAACUGAAAAAUUUCUGGACAAACUUUCAGAAACCAUCUCAGGUAAGCUUAUCUGCGUGCUCGUUGUCCUCACCAGGGUCUUGACCUGACUGCAGUUUGGCGUCAUAAUCGACUUCAGUGGGCAAAUGCUCACCUUCAAUGGCCACUGGCACGCUGGUAAAGUGUGCUCUUCAUGGAUGAAUCCCGGUUUCAACUGUACCGGGCAGAUGGCAGACAACGUUGCUGAUGUCAACGUUGUAAACAGAGUGUCCCAUGGUGGCAGUGGGGUUAUGGUAUGGGCAGACAUAAGCUACGGACAACGAACACAAUUACAUUUUAUCGAUGACAAUUUGAAUGCACAGAGACACUGUGAUGAGAUCCUGAGGCCCAUUGUUGUGCCAUUCAUCCACCGCCAUCACCUCAUGUUUCAGCAGGAUAAUGCACAGCACCAUGUCGCAAGGGUUUGUACACAAUUCCUGGAAGCUGAAAAUGUCCCAGUUCUUCCAUGGCCUGAAUACUCACCAGAGAUGUCACCCAUUUAGCAUGUUUUAUGAUGCUCUGGAUUGACGUGUAAGAAAAUCCAGCAACUUCGCACAUCCAUUGAAGAGGAGUAGGACAACAUUCCACAGGCAAUAAUCAACAGCCUGAUCAACUCUAUGCCAAGGAGAUGUGUUGCGCUGCAUGAGGCAUAUGGUGGUCACACCAGAUACUGACUGGUUUUCUGAUCCAUGCCCCUACCUUGUUUUUAAAAGGUAUCUGUGAUCAACAGAUGCAUAUCUGUUUUCCCAGUUAUGUGAAAUCCAUAGAUUAGAGCCUAAUUACUUUAUUUCAAUUGAGUGAUUUCCUUAUAUGAACUGUAACUCAGUAAAAUCUUUGAAAUUGUUACAUGUUGCGCUUAUAUUUUUGUUCAGUGUAAAAUGUGUGUAAAAUGUAUAUGUAACAAAAGAGCUGUAAAAACCAAAAAUAGAA
ensembl:lncRNA